CGGGGUGUUUACGUGGCCUUCUCAGGGAUGGAGCCUUUGACUUCCUGAAAAACCAUCCCCCGUUGACGUCCUGAUCUCUGUCUGUCAGACCUAAAGACUGAAGGGACACCGGCUAACAAGAUGGCCACUGCUGCAGAAGAAGGGUCUAGUCAAUCCUUUCUGCUCCUCCUAAUGGUUCUUUCUCAUCAGACUGCCACGAGCCCAGAGACAAUGAAGAUGAUUGUCAUAGAAAAUAGCCCAUGGGGACGAGUCCUGGGCCUGGGAGGUUGCAGCAGGACCACCGAGUUAAAGGCCAAUCUGGGAGAGAAGGACACAAUGGAACUGUCACUCUGGAAGUUCUGAGAUGAGGCCUCACACAUGUUCACAAUUUCCACGGACACUUUCUGAGGAUGUCACCUUUAGCCCAAAGGCUAGAGUGACAGAGGGACCUAACUACCCAUCCCUGUCAUCAGCCAACCAGAAGCUGAAUGUGGCUUCAUGAAUGAGCCAGGAACCUGUCUCAGCUUGUGACAGUGCCCAGACGCUCAGAUCACACAUCCAUCCUCUUGGCAAGCAGCUGUUGGAGCCACCAAACUCAGCCGCAGGGACUAACAUUCUACAUUCCACUUUUGCCAUGGAAACGUCUGUGAGGUCUCCAGAUAGGCCCCUCCUCAUUCCAGAAGGCGUCCUGUGUGUGGCUUCCCACUGAGCAGGUAGAGAUCAGGACCGCUGCAGAUCUGGCUGGAACCUGGAGCCUUCGCAUGCUCCUAAACCCCCUUUGCGUCUGUAAUACUAAUGCUGUCCUCUAAAUUGAUUUUCAGGGCUUAUGUAUUAUGACCCACAGUCUGACAAAGCACCUCCCAAGAUAGUCUCUCACAUGAUGUCUCAGGAAAUACGUGAAAAACAUUCAUGACAACCAUUUAUCGUAAUAGAAAGCAAUGUGGGGUCAGCAAGUGCCUGCUUUCUGGAGAAGGGGUAGCUAAAUAUUCACAGCUGAAGAGUACAGGGAAGUGAAGAGCUCAUGAGCUGCACAUAACUGUAACAUGGGUAGAUAUUGAAAUUAUGGGCACGUAUAAGCGAUUUGUAAAAGAACAAACAAUAUACUCCCUCAUAACACUCAAAAAUAAUAAAAGUGAAGUGUUUAGGAAAAUGUGCACGAGUCAUACAGCUACUUUUCAAACAUCAAAGAAAAUGUAAAAUUAAAUCCCAGGGCACUGGCUUAUCCUCUCGGGAGACAAGGCUAGAUGAGAAGAUAGUUUCAAUAAUGUUUUUAAAUAUUUAACAUUCAUACGUGUAUGCAUAUAAUGUGCUUAGAGCAAAUCCAGCCCCCAAGUGUCUUACCUUGUUCUUCUCUCUAACUUGAAUACUGACCUCACCAGUGUUUAUCAUUUAUUCCUCAGGAUCUGC